CUUGUUUGUUUCCUCAGUCUGUGUCUGGUCAUUGCAGUUUUUACACUCUGUUAUGUUGUAUGGAGGAGUGUUCUGGCUGUUGCUGUUUCUCCUGCUGUUUUUGGAUGCCAAUCAACUACCUCCAACCUCUCAGCGUCGGGAUUCCUGCCAGAGGAAGGUUGAAACGUGGUAAGCGACCCUCAGUAUUUACCCUGAGCAGGCUGCAGUGCCUCUCUGGACAAUGGAUGCAGAUAAAGGUGCCUCAGACUGGAACAACAUGAUGUUGUUGUUAUAAUACACACAGCAGCUCAGGAAAAGGUAUGGUGGUGUUUGGGAACUGCAGAGCCUGAAAGCAUGUUGCUCCACUGGAAAAUCAAUACUUAUAUUUGACUUAAAAUUCUACAGUUGUUCAAGUUUCCUUUUAACUGAAACAUUACUAAAUGUUAUUGUGUUUUUAUAUACUGUUAUACAGGUGCACUCAUUAAUUGGUUUUGUUUUAAUUAAAGAUUGUUUAUUUGUUAACCCAGUUUAAA